CUGGUGUCAGCCGCCGCGGUAAUACCAGCACCCCGAGUGGUCGGGACGUUUAUUGGGCCUAAAGCAUCCGUAGCCGGUUCUGCAAGUCUUCCGUUAAAUCCACCUGCUUAACAGAUGGGCCGCGGAAGAUACUAUAGAGCUAGGAGGCGGGAGAGGCAAGCGGUACUCGAUGGGUAGGGGUAAAAUCCGUUGAUCCAUUGAAGACCACCAGUGGCGAAGGCGGCUUGCCAGAACGCGCUCGACGGUGAGGGAUGAAAGCUGGGGGAGCAAACCGGAUUAGAUACCCGGGUAGUCCCAGCUGUAAACGAUGCAGACUCGGUGAUGAAUUGGCUUUAUGCCAAUUCAGUGCCGCAGGGAAGCCGUUAAGUUUGCCGCCUGGGGAGUACGGUCGCAAGACUGAAACUUAAAG
rnacentral:rRNA from 2 species